rnacentral:rRNA from 1 species
CCUUAGGACCUGCGGAAGGAUCAUUA